rnacentral:rRNA from 1 species
AUCUCAGUUCAGAUUGCAGGCUGCAAUCGCCUGCAUGAAGUCGGAAUUGCUAGUAAUCGUAGGUCAGCAUACUACGGUGAAUACGUUCCCGGGCCUUGUACACACCGCCCGUCAAACCAUGAGAGUUGGCAACACCCGAAGUCGGUAGUCUAACCGCAAGGAGGACGCCGCCGAAGGUGGGGUUGAUGAUUAGGGUUAAGUCGUAACAAGGUAGC